rnacentral:misc_RNA from 1 species
GAUGAAGAACGUAGUGAAAUGCGAUACUUGGUGUGAAUUGCAGAAUCCCGUGAACCAUCGAGUCUUUGAACGCAAGUUGCGCCCGAAGCCAUCAGGUUGAGGGCACGUCUGCCUGGGCGUCACAUAUCGUUGCCCAAUGCCUAUUGCAGUGCAAUAGGAAUUUCUAGGGCGAAUGAUGGCUUCCCGUGAGCGUUGUUGCCUCGCGGUUGGUUGAAAAUCGAGUCCUUGGUAGGGUGUGCCAUGGUAGAUGGUGGUCGAGUUAGAACGAUACCGAUCAUGUGCAUGCUCCCCAAAAUAUGGCCUCUAUGACCCACACGCGUCUUUUGACGCUCAUGACGAGACCUCAGGUCAGGCGGGGCUACCCGCUGAAUUUAAGCAUAUCAAUAAGCGGAGGAA